GGCAGCAGCUAAGAAUAUUCCGCAAUGGGGGAAACCCUGACGGAGCGACGCCGCGUGGAUGAUGAAGGCCGGAAGGUUGUAAAAUCCUUUUGGGUACGAGGAAUAAGUAAAGUGAGAGAAACGCUUUAUGGUGACGGUAGUACCUGAAUAAGCAACGGCUAAUUACGUGCCAGCAGCCGCGGUAACACGUAAGUUGCGAGCGUUGUUCGGAAUUAUUGGGCGUAAAGGGCAUGUAGGCGGUAAUGCAAGUCUGGUGUGAAAUGCCGGGGCUCAACCCCGGAACUGCGUUGGAAACUGCAUUACUUGAGUGACUGAGGGGCAGGCAGAAUUCCUGGUGUAGGGGUGAAAUCUGUAGAUAUCAGGAAGAAUACCGAUGGCGAAGGCAGCCUCCGAGCGCGCGACCGACGCUGAGGUGCGAAGGUGCGGGGAGCAAACAGGAUUAGAUACCCUGGUAGUCCGCACAGUAAACGAUGCGCACUUGGUGUCCGGCCAUGAGGCUGGGUGCCGGAGCAAACGCGAUAAGUGCGCCGCCUGGGGAGUAUGCCCGCAAGGGUGAAACUCAAAGGAAUUGACGG
rnacentral:rRNA from 1 species